rnacentral:rRNA from 1 species
AGAUUGAACGCUGGCGGCAGGCCUAACACAUGCAAGUCGAGCGGAUGAGAAGAGCUUGCUCUUCGAUUCAGCGGCGGACGGGUGAGUAAUGCCUAGGAAUCUGCCUGGUAGUGGGGGACAACGUCUCGAAAGGGACGCUAAUACCGGCAUACGUCCUACGGGAGAAAGCAGGGGGACCUUUGGGCCUUGCGCUAUCAGAUGAGCCUAGGUCGAUUAGCUAGUUGGUGGGUAAAGGCUCACCAAGGCGACGAUCCGUAACUGGUCUGAGAGGAUGAUCAGUCACACUGGAACUGAGACACGGUCCAGACCUCCGUACGGGAGGCGAGCGAGGUAGGGAAUAGUUGGACAAGUGGGACGAAGCCUAGACUCCGAGCCAGUCGCCGGCGUGUGUAGAAGGAACGGUUCUUCGGUAUUAGUAAGCUACGUUUAAGUUAGGGAGUAAGGCUAAGUUACCGUAAUACGUGUAUUGUCUUGACGUACGA